rnacentral:rRNA from 1 species
CGCGAGAAUGAGGAGCUUGCUCCUCAUGAUCGAGCGGCGGACGGGUGAGUAACACGUAGGCAACCUACCCUUGAGAUUGGGAUAACUACCGGAAACGGUAGCUAAUACCGGAUACGACAUAGUCACAUAAGUGACUCUGUUAAAAGGCGGAUUUAUCUGCCGCUCAUGGAUGGGCCUGCGGUGCAUUAGCUAGUUGGUGAGAUAGAAGCUCACCAAGGCGACGAUGCAUAGCCGACCUGAGAGGGUGAUCGGCCACACUGGGACUGAGACACGGCCCAGACUCCUACGGGAGGCAGCAGUAGGGAAUCUUCCGCAAUGGACGAAAGUCUGACGGAGCAACGCCGCGUGAGUGAUGAAGGGUUUCGGCUCGUAAAACUCUGUUGUUAAGGAAGAAUACUUGAGGUAGUAACUGGCCUUGAGAUGACGGUACUUAACCAGAAAGCCACGGCUAACUACGUGCCAGCAGCCGCGGUAAUACGUAGGUGGCAAGCGUUAUCCGGAAUUAUUGGGCGUAAAGCGCGCGUAGGCGGUAAAAUAAGUCUGAUGUGAAAGCCCCCGGCUCAACCGGGGAGGGUCAUUGGAAACUGUUUUACUUGAGUACAGAAGAGGAGAGUGGAAUUCCAUGUGUAGCGGUGAAAUGCGCAGAGAUAUGGAGGAACACCAGUGGCGAAGGCGGCUCUCUGGUCUGUAACUGACGCUGAGGUGCGAAAGCGUGGGGAUCAAACAGGAUUAGAUACCCUGGUAGUCCACGCCGUAAACGAUGAGUGCUAAGUGUUGGGGGGUUUCCGCCCUUCAGUGUUGCAGCUAACGCAUUAAGCACUCCGCCUGGGGAGUACGGCCGCAAGGCUGAAACUCAAAGGAAUUGACGG